UACGUAGGGUGCGAGCGUUGUCCGGAAUUAUUGGGCGUAAAGGGCUCGUAGGCGGUUUGUCGCGUCGGGAGUGAAAACCUCGGGCUUAACUCGGGGCUUGCUUUCGAUACGGGCAGACUGGAGGUAUGCAGGGGAGAACGGAAUUCCUGGUGUAGCGGUGAAAUGCGCAGAUAUCAGGAGGAACACCGGUGGCGAAGGCGGUUCUCUGGGCAUGACCUGACGCUGAACUGCGAAAGCUAGGGGAGCGAACGGG
rnacentral:rRNA from 1 species